CGUUCCCGGGUCUUGUACACACCGCCCGUCAAGUCAUGAAAGUCGGUAACACCUGAAGCCGGUGGCCUAACCCUUGUGGAGGGAGCCGUCGAAGGUGGGAUUGGUAAUUAGGACU
rnacentral:rRNA from 1 species